GUUCGAAACCUGCUGGCUAAGCAAAGCCCCGACUUGCCAUUAUUAUUUAAACAGGCGCUGCCGCGCUGCGCAGCCCCGCACGAGCACACGGACACGCGUGCACAGCCACACACAUGGGGACAGUCAUACAUGUACAGCCACACACAUGGGGACAGCCACUUAUGUGCACAGCCACACUUGUACAGACACACACACAUAUACAGCCACAUAUGUGCACAACCACACACACAUGUACAGCCACACACAGGGACAGACACACAUGUACAGACACACAUGUACAGCCAAAAUGUGCACAACCACACACGCACAUACAGCCACACACUCAUGUACAGUCAUACAUCUGCACAGCCACACAGAGACAGCCACAUGUGUACAGCCACACUUGUACAGACAUACACACACGUACAGCCACAAUGUGCACAACCACACACACACACAUACAGCCACAUAUGUAUAGCCACACGUGUACAGCCACACACUCAUGUACAGCCAUACAAGUACAGCCAUACAUCUGCACAGCCACACACACAGAGACAGCCACAUGUGUACAGCCACACACACAUACAGCCACACGUGUGCACAGCCACACACACAGAGACAGCCGCACGUUUGUACAGCCACACACACAUACAGCUGCACACGCAGAGACAGCCACACACAUACAGCCACACAUGCACACAGGACAGUCACAGAGCCACACGCAUGCACACAGCCACACAGACACACACACACACAUACACAGAGCCACACACAGAUGUGUGAGGCAGUGCCCGCACCCUCCCAGCCUGUGCUCCUCCUGCCCAUGGCAGGGCCCAGCUGGGGGUUCAGGGGGCUCCUCUCCCUCCAGGGCAGCCCUGGGCUGGGCAGCAGUGCGGGUGCCAUGCCGUGCCCGCUGUGCAGCAGAGAUCACCUCUGCAGAGGGAAGUGGCACCCCCAGGGCCUGUCCUUGGCGUGUGACUGUCACCGCUGUCACCACUCGAGCUCCCCGGGUUUGUGGUGUCAGCUUCAGCAGGGCCUUGUGUGAAGGGGAGUGGUGGCACACGGUUCUGUGCCCUGCACGGGUGACACGCCAGCACACACGUGUGCAUGCACACACAGAUGGAUACAGUGGGCUGUGCACACACCCGUGUGUUCAUGUUCUCAGCUGUGCUGGAUGAGACACAGUGUCACACGUGUGUGUGUGUGUGUCUGUGUGUGUGUGUGUGUGUGUGUGUGUGUGUGCAGGACGAAUGCACACACGUGUGAACACACAGGCUGCCCUGUGCAGGCACACACACCUCCCCAUGUGUCUGUGCAGCAGGAGGCACAUGUGGCCCCGCUGCAGUGGAGAUGCAGACGCUCCACACACAGGGAACAUGCAUGAACACACGUGCACAUGCAUGUACACAGAUCCANNNNNNNNNNNNNNNNNNNNNNNNNNNNNNNNNNNNNNNNNNNNNNNNNN
rnacentral:lncRNA from 1 species